rnacentral:lncRNA from 13 species
ACUGUUGUAAACACACUUGCUAGACUGUAGCUUUUAUUCCUGUUCAGACAGCCAAUAGAGUCUCUCAGUUCAGUGUUCCCUCCUACUGUAUGACGGCUACAUGUAAAGUGCCAUCAUAAAAGAGGUGCCCCGUUGUCAGACCCUCACACUAUACAAUGCAGAAAGGAUUGGCAUUACAAUGAAGAUAUGACAUUGGACAAUGUUUUUGUUUUACGCCUACUUCGAUAAUUUGUGCAUUGAAUAUGGCCAUGGUUCAACCAGACCCUGGGAUUUGUACUGAGAUGGGAGUUUCAGAUCUGUUGGGUGAUCAGAGUAAGCAUAUUUUUGUCAUUAUUCUAUCUUGCCUGACAACUGCUGUGAUCCUGAGUGUGAUUGUCAACAUUUUCCUCUUUGUGAGACUGAAGAGGUCACGAUGUGAACACUGUGCAGUAGGAACCCCUUCUCAGCAGAGCCAGUACAGAAAUCCUUAUGCCAACACGUCAGACCAACAGCUCCCCAGUGACAAUGAUGCCCUGAACUAUUCUGCCCUGAAGUUCGAUGAAAUGAAGAGUACCAAGCCCAGGAGACAGAGGAGAAAACAGAGAGAGGAAGAAACCAUCUACUCUGGUGUGUCAGAUAGACAGGAUGUGGCAGUCAUCCAUUCAGUAUCACAGGCACUUUAAUUGGGGAGGGCGGGCUCAUAGUAAUGGCUAGAACUGAAUAAACGGAAUGCUAUUGAACGCAUCAAACAUAUGGAUACCAUUGCAUUCACUCCAUUCCAGCCAUUGUUAUUAGCUGACCUCCCCUAAGCAGCCUCCUGUGAUCAGCAUAAUUCUAAGUUAAGCCCCACCCCUCCUCUGAAUUCCACUUUGAUCUUGACUGUGUCCGUGUGACCUGGCUAUUUUGUACACUUCCGGUUUGCUGUAGAAUGCCAUUGCAGGGGCCUAGCUUCACCAUAAUUUUCCCCAAAGUAUGAAAGCUGAUACUAGGAUGGUUUCAGAAGUCUCAAAUCCUCACCAAUAGUGGCUGAGGUUGACUGACUGGAUACAUUUGGUUUUGUAGAAGUGUACCACAAAAUAUAUAUUAUGAUUUUCAAAUGUCUGAACUCUUCCUUUUCAUGAUAAUACUUGUAACAUGGAGCUUUGUAACCUGCCCUUAUACUUGUGUGAUAUUUCAAUAAACAUGUUUUUAUUUAC